rnacentral:rRNA from 1 species
CCUUCGGGUGGCAGCAGUAGGGAAUUUUCGUCAAUGGGCGCAAGCCUGAACGAGCGAUGCCGCGUGAGUGAAGAAGGCCUUCGGGUCGUAAAGCUCUGUUGCGGGGGAAAAAAGGCAACUACAGGAAAUGGUAGAUGACAGAUGGUGCCCCGCCAGAAAGUCACGGCUAACUACGUGCCAGCAGCCGCGGUAAUACGUAGGUGGCGAGCGUUAUCCGGAAUGAUUGGGCGGAAAGGGUGCGCAGGCGGUCCUGCAAGUCUGGAGUGAAACGUAUGAGCUCAACUCAUGCAUGGCUCUGGAAACUGGAGGACUGGAGAGCAGGAGAGGGCGGUGGAACUCCAUGUGUAGCGGUAAAAUGCGUAGAUAUAUGGAAGAACACCAGUGGCGAAGGCGGCCGCCUGGCCUGUUGCUGACGCUGAGGCACGAAAGCGUGGGGAGCAAAUAGGAUUAGAUACCCUUGUAGUC